UACAGAGGUCUCAAGCGUUGUUCGUAUUCAUUGGGCGUAAAGGGUGCGUAGGCGGCGUGGUAAGUCGGAUGUGAAAUCUCGGAGCUUAACUCCGAAACUGCAUUCGAUACUGCCGUGCUUGAGGACUGGAGAGGAGACUGGAAUUUACGGUGUAGCGGUGAAAUGCGUAGAUAUCGUAAGGAAGACCAGUGGCGAAGGCGGGUCUCUGGACAGUUCCUGACGCUGAGGCACGAAGGCCAGGGGAGCAAACGGG
rnacentral:rRNA from 1 species